rnacentral:misc_RNA from 1 species
GAUGAAGAACGUAGUGAAAUGCGAUAAGUAGUGUGAAUUGCAGACUUUAGUGAAUCAUCGAAUCUUUGAACGCACAUUGCGCCCCUUGGUAUUCCAUUGGGCAUGCCUGUUCGAGCGUCAUUUACACCCUCAAGCCUAGCUUGGUGUUGGGCGUUGUCCGCAAGGACUCGCCUCAAAUUCAUUGGCAGCGGCAUCGUCAGCUUCUCGCGCAGCACAUUGCGCUUCAGAAGGCUUCUGGCGGGCUCGCGUCCACUAAGAUACCACCCAGUUUGACCUCGAAUCAGGUAGGGAUACCCGCUGAACUUAAGCAUAUCAAUAAGCGGAGGA